UACAGAGGUCUCGAGCGUUAGGCGGAAUCACUGGGCUUAAAGCGUGUGUAGGCGGAUCGGUAAGUACCUUGUGAAAUCCCACAGCUUAACUGUGGAACUGCUUGGUAUACUGCCAGUCUUGAGCCAGCUAGGGGCUACCGGAACAAAUGGUGGAGCGGUGAAAUGCGUAGAUAUCGCUUGGAACGCCGAAGGUGAAAACAGGCUGCUGGGGUUGCGCCGACGCUGAGACACGAAAGCCAGGGGAGCAAACGGG
rnacentral:rRNA from 1 species